CAUACGUCGUUAGUGGGUUAAAACGUUUUUUCUUAUGGACGCGCGAGGAAUUUUCUAAUAAAAACAUUUUUUUCUUCUUAAAAUAAAUAAAAGAAACAUCAAAAAACCAAAAAAAAAGCUUAAAACAAUAAAUAAUAGAUUAUUGAAAAUAGUGCAAAAUACAUACAUAAUUUUAAUUAGAUAAAAAGAAAUAAAUUUUGAAAAAUAAAUAAAUAAAAAAAGUUUUUAAUAUUUUAAUUUAUCAAUAAAUAAUUAAAUUCAAACGCGUAAUGUUGGAAACGAACGCUCUAACGCAAAAAUAAA